CAAGCUUUCUUCUUCCUGCAAGCUGGCCCUUCCCAAAGAGUCAGAUUUACUUAUUGAUGAGCCCAUGAUUUCUCCAUUCCAUCAACAUCUUGCUGCAAGAUAUGGGAAGGUCGAGGUUAGCUAAAACUGUAUAAAUUGAAACAUUUUUAUUUCUUUUUGCACGUAUAUUUGUCUCUUAUCAGGCUUGAUAAUUUGAAUUAUAUAGUGAUGUUAUGGUGAGUAGGUUGAGCUAAAAGGCUGAAGUUUUUUAAGCAAAAAAUCUUGCAUAAAUUUUUCAAUAACAGUUGGCUACAAAUAUGUUCGGUGAUGGGGAGUUUGUUCAAGUGAUUCGUUCUCGCUGUGUUUCUUCAAGAGUCAUCCUGUUCUAAAGGGAUGGUUGAGGUUGAUAACAUGCUUUAAAAUAUGCCACGUGGAGUGUUGAUUUACACAUGCGAUUUCUCGUAAUGAUGUAUGUGCUGUUUCGGAGUACUUUGUAGCAUUUGGUAGAUCUUCUUGACCACUACAGUAGUCAUAGCGAAAAGGAUGGAUGAUGGUGUCAUGAAAUUUAGUCCUUUUUGUGUUUCAGUAGGAUUGGGUAUUGUCUCUCAGUUUAGGUUUGAAAAUAUUUCUUCAGACAUCAGUCAAUAUCCAAUGUUAAGGCUGGUUUUUCUUGCUAUCAUUUAAGAGAGCCUUGUAGGGCUGCUAUAAAGUUGCAUAAUUUUGGAGUUGCAGCUGUACAGGUCUCACUGCAAUUAGGUCUUAUGCAGAUAAUGAGAACUCUUGGCAAUAAUCAUUUCUUGGUCUUCAAUUGUAUGAUGCACCGAAGGGACCAGUGUUUGUUUAAUAUUCUUGGUGCUCUUCGUUGUUUCAUGGCUGCACAAUCAAAAGAUAUAUCAGAAGAUAUUUCCUUGAUGUGUACUGGGAGCACAACUUAAAAUGAUGCACUGAGUGUAUUGUGCGCUAAUUUAGUUUGUCUGCUAUGGGGAUUGUCUUUAGAUGCUUGGCUGCAGAGGUUAGUGGGUUUAGAUGCAAGGUUUUUAAUUUUUGACAUAAGAGAUGUGGAUUCAAAUAUGCCAUCCAGUUCAAUCAAUAAAAGCUCCCUCAUGCAAAACUCAGAUUUGGUGAGUCUUUAGAGGGGGUAAAAGACUAAAAGGUGAGCCAUCUUAUGGAGCUCGACCUCAUUUUCACCUAUCACUUCUUAUCCCUGGCUCCUGUGGUCGUUUAUUUCUCAACUCAAAAGGGUAUGAGCCAUGUGUGAGAAGCUCUUGAAAAAAAGGAUACAGUAUCAUGGUGGAUCAGAGAAAGAAAAAUGGCUUUAUCUGCUCAAGUUGUGUCUGUGUCUUGACCCAUUGAUGAAAUUCUUUUAUGUUGACCAAACCUCAAAGUUGAUAGCUUUACUACUAACCUAAUGGCAAAGUCAAUGGUCUGAUUGAACGACCAUUUUGGUUGCUAUGAGGAAACCUGCACACUUUUCAGAUAAGGUGGAAUGACAUCAUAUAAAAAUAAAGCGAAUAAGCCGAUGUGAGGUUAAGUAAAACAACCACUAGAAGCGGACCAAAGUGAUUGAAUCAAUUCCACUGCAUAGUUCAAAAACAAAACUUUCUCUAUUACACGCCCAAACAGAUGUGAUGAUAAAUAUGAAGAUGGCAUUGGUAACUGGAAAACAAUGAAGACAAUAAUCCUCUGUAAUAUGAGCAAAACUGGAAGAUUGUUCUACCGAGCCGCAAGCAGUGCUAACUUCAGACAAUUAACAGCAUAAAAAUAGCCAAUAUGGUUCCCACCCAGUUUCGGAGCAUCCCUCCCUUCUCAAACAUCGCAAUGCUUCCAUUCUAUAAUCAAAAUGAAGAGCAGAAGUCGUUAGGAUUAAGCAAAGUCAUGCAUGAGCCAUAGUUCUUAAAUUCUUUGAACUCUAGAAACUUAACUAGCAUUAUUUUGCAAUUUAAAAUAUUUUAAAGCUCCUCCAAGCAAUAAAGAUUAGGCAUUUGCCUUAACAAUGUUUGUCUUCUGAGUUAACUCUGGAUAUUUGCUGGCACAUAGCACAUGUGGCCAUGCCAGUGACCAUAAAGAAUGCAUGUCCUUGUUCAAUAUAUUUUGUAUUGAUAUAAAUGGUUUUUGUUUUAAAACAAUUGGUUGCAUAUCUAAAUUCCACUAAGUUAUUUAGUUGUUGGGUUUAAUUAACAUAGGUUUGUAGAAAACCUGAAAAAGAUUGAGUUUGACAACAAAAAAAACUUUUGUUUGAAUAUUUCUAUAAAACUGGUUUUGUAAAACUUUGAAAAAAUGAGUUUUGUGAGAAACAGAUCUAUCCCAUAAUGUGUGAGACUUGUUUUAUAGAAGAUGAGAUUCUACAAUUAUCUUUUUAGAAAACUCACAAACAACAAAACAACCCUGAGAUCGAUGUUAUUUUGAAAAUAAAUGUGCACCUGAUCUUAUAAAACUAGAAGUAAAGCAUGAUUAUUGAAGCACUGAUGCAUUAUAGCUUUUUUCUUUAUUUUGAUUGCUUGCAUGAUUGAGGAUUGUUACUUGCUCUAAAGCUGCAGCAUUGUAAACGGUCCACCGCUCAAUUGUUUUGACAAACACUAGUUUUCUUCUCUCUCUCUCUCCCUCUCUCUCUUUUGUCAAAUUUAUUUUUUUAUAUUUUUUAAAUCAAAUUUAUACAUUUUAUUAUAUUAUUGAGUUUCUUUUUAAAAAAAAGAAAAUAAAAAUCUGGCAGUUAUACAUGCACUAUCACUGCUGUAAAGUUUAAUGUAUACUACUGGUAGAGUGUCUGAUAAAACAUAUAUAAGUUUUUUUUUUGUCCCAAUGCAAGUACUUUUCUUAUGCUAAUCAUAUAUCCAUAUCUUGAUAAUAUAUUAUGUAACUGUUGGAAAAUAAUCUAAUUUGAAAUUUUGCAUGAUCACCAGAUCAAUUGGCUGAGGUGCCGGACUCGUUACAUCCAACUCAUCAGGUGGCGUGGGCGCAAUCGGCGCCGGAGGGCUUGGCACGGUCGGUGCAGGUGCUGGUGCAUGCUUUUUCUGUGCCUUCUUUUCUUGUGCUUCCCCUUGCGCUUUGCCGGAGCAGGUGCCGGCACAGAUAUUGACGGUGCUGGUACCGGCCCAGGCAUCACUGGAGGUGUAGCUGGCGGU
rnacentral:lncRNA from 1 species